rnacentral:lncRNA from 1 species
UGAGUGGGAGCAACCAGGAGGUGCUCCUGCCAGCCCUUCAUGCUCUUUUUCUCACUUCUCCCUUCUUUUUGUAAAUAAUCACGCCUGCUUAGAUGCCUGGUGACUCUCAUGUUGCAGCAGGCCACACUGCUGGCCUCCAAUGAAGCCUUUAAAAAGCAGGUGGAGAGUGCUAGUGAGGCGGCCAAGAAGUACAUUGAGAAUGACCAGCUCAAGAAGUGAGCUGCUGUUGACGGAGGCAAGUUGGAUGUCGGGAAUGCUGAGGUGAAGUUGGAGGAAGAGAACAGGAGCCUGAAGGCUGAGCUGCGGAAGCUAAAGGACGAGCUGGCCAGCACUAAGCAAAGUGAGGCUUGACCUCAUGUCCUUCCCCACAGGGAAGUCCAGAGAAGCGUCCUCUGCCCGCUGCUGCCCAU